AAAUAGAGAGGUUACACAGCAGAGAGCUACAGCAGCUACUGUGGUGAUAGCUCAAUAUACGGUAACAGAGUCUAAUAACAUAACAGAUCUGCUCUGUCACUGCGUCACAGGAUUCCAGACUUUAUACGGAAGGUCACGCCCACUAGGAUGCGCUCACCAUCGCCAUUUAUCCUGACACUCGGGAUCCUCCUCAGUAUCUACCAUCUGUCCACAUGUCAGGACUGGGGAGCCUUUCAAGCAAGACACAUUAUUAGAAGAACGGACUUCAAAUGUGAGGCUUUGAUGUAUCGGUUCAAUAAGAGAAACCAACCGGAAUGCGAAAGGGUUAACACCUUCAUCUAUACAUUAGAUCCCACCACCAUUUCGACGAUGUGCACUGGUUAUGGCCAUGUGACUAUAUCAACUAACACAGCCUUCACCCUCAUUGAAUGCUUUAGAAGGUACAAGCGUAAGCGACCAUGUGAAUAUCGUAGGCGGAUGCUAAACGAUGUGGUGUGUAUAACAUGCCAGAAUGAUUACCCUGUACACGUUCAGAAUAUAGGCCCAUGCCUGUAAUCUAAACGCAAAGUUUCUUCAGUGUCCCGCAACAUUGUAGAGCAGAGGAGGAAAGGUCUCCGUCUUCUGCAUAUCUCAGAGUAACAUUCAGGCCGUCCUCUGCACAAUGCACAGCAAUCAACCCUUCUUUAUACAGCACAUUCUCUGCUCCAUAACAUAUAACAAAAGGCAAGCCCACUUCUGUAUAUGAUGCAGAAGUUGUGAUGUCACUGCUACAAAUACGUGACAGAAUGCUUCAUGUAACCAGUUGUAUAACGAGCAUUGCUUAUCUAGCUUAUUCUACUAAUAAUAAAUAUUCAAACUAAUUAAACCUGCAA